rnacentral:rRNA from 1 species
UGGGGAAUCUUCCGCAAUGGACGAAAGUCUGACGGAGCAACGCCGCGUGAGUGAAGAAGGUUUUCGGAUCGUAAAGCUCUGUCUUCAGGGACGAACGUGCUAUUUGUGAAUA